rnacentral:rRNA from 1 species
GACGAACGCUGGCGGCGUGCCUAACACAUGCAAGUCGAACGAAGCUUGAAGAUUGAUUCUUCGGAUGAAAUCUGAUAUGACUGAGUGGGCGACGGGUGAAGUACGCGUAGAGCAACCUGCCCUUCGGAGGGGGAUAGUGUCUGGAAACGGACAGUAAUACCGCAUAACGUAUUUUUACCGCAUGAUAGAAAUACCAAAACUGAGGUGCCGAAGGAUGGGCUCGCGUUGGAUUAGAUAGUUGGUGGGGUAACGGCCUACCAAGUCGACGAUCCAUAGCCGGACUAAGAGGUUGAACGGCCACAUUGGGACUGAGACACGGCCCAG